AACGAACGCUGGCGGCAUGCCUAACACAUGCAAGUCGAACGAUCCCUUCGGGGAUAGUGGCGCACGGGUGCGUAACGCGUGGGAACCUGCCCUUAGGUUCGGAAUAACUCAGAGAAAUUUGAGCUAAUACCGGAUAAUGUCUUCGGACCAAAGAUUUAUCGCCUUUGGAUGGGCCCGCGUUGGAUUAGCUUGUUGGUGGGGUAAAGGCCUACCAAGGCGACGAUCCAUAGCUGGUCUUAGAGGAUGAUCAGCCACACUGGGACUGAGACACGGCCCAGACUCCUACGGGAGGCAGCAGUGGGGAAUAUUGGACAAUGGGCGAAAGCCUGAUCCAGCAAUGCCGCGUGAGUGAUGAAGGCCCUAGGGUUGUAAAGCUCUUUUACCCGAGAUGAUAAUGACAGUACCGGGAGAAUAAGCUCCGGCUAACUCCGUGCCAGCCGCCGCCGUAA
rnacentral:rRNA from 1 species